rnacentral:lncRNA from 1 species
UAUUCCAACCUUUGUGCUCACCCUACUCUCUCUUUCCUUCUGUGUUCAGACAGGAGUGAUCAGAGGGAUGAACAAGCCACAGCCUCCUGGGCAGAAUUAACCCCUUUGGUGUCAUGGAAAUUAUCUUCCACAAAGGAGGAAACAUGUUACAUCAUAAAGUAGAAUGGCACCAUCCCAGAUCUGCAACCCAACACUUCAGCCAAGUACCAAACAGUUGCAGGACAUCCAUCUCCUCAAACACCUUCCAAGGCAGUUGUGAAACAAGGACACAUACAACACAGGCACCAUUUGAAUGAUUAUUCUGUUGCUCACUGGACUGCUGUGGAUUAUGCUUAUUGUCAAUAAAAAAACUGAUUGGCCAAUAGCAGGGAAAGAAGAGUUUGUAUGAGAUAGCCUGAUGCAGAGAGAGUGUUGGGAGAAAGAAGGACAGAGUCAAGGAGUCACAGGAGACACCAACCAGCUGCCACGAAGCAGAACGUGUAGAAAAUGAGGCAACAAUCCAUGAGCCACAUGGCAAAGCAUAGGUAAGAAAUA